rnacentral:rRNA from 1 species
UGGUGGAGUGAUUUGUCUGGUUAAUUCCGUUAACGAACGAGACCUCGACCUACUAAAUAGUUGACUAAAUUCUUCGGGAUUUGGAUUGACUUCUUAGAGGGACUUUUGGUGAGUAGCCAAAGGAAGUUCGAGGCAAUAACA